rnacentral:rRNA from 1 species
AGAGUUUGAUCCUGGCUCAGAUUGAACGCUGGCGGCGUGCCUAACACAUGCAAGUCGAGCGGUAACAGGUGUAGCAAUACAUGCUGACGAGCGGCGGACGGGUGAGUAACGCUUGGGAAUCUGCCUGUUAGUGGGGGACAACCCGGGGAAACUCGGGCUAAUACCGCAUACGCACUACGGUGGAAAGCCGGGGACCGCAAGGCCUGGCGCUAACAGAUGAGCCCAAGUCGGAUUAGCUAGUUGGUAGGGUAACGGCCUACCAAGGCGACGAUCCGUAACUGGUCUGAGAGGACGACCAGUCACACCGGAACUGAGACACGGUCCGGACUCCUACGGGAGGCAGCAGUGGGGAAUAUUGGACAAUGGGCGAAAGCCUGAUCCAGCGACGCCGCGUGGGUGAAGAAGGCCUGCGGGUUGUAAAGCCCUUUCGGUGGGGAAGAAAAGCCUCGAGCUAACACCUCGGGGUCUUGACGUAACCCAUAGAAGAAGCACCGGCUAACUCUGUGCCAGCAGCCGCGGUAAUACAGAGGGUGCGAGCGUUAAUCGGAAUUACUGGGCGUAAAGCGCGCGUAGGCGGCUUUGCAAGUCGGGUGUGAAAUCCCCAGGCUUAACCUGGGAACUGCAUUCGAGACUGCAUUGCUAGAGUAUGGGAGAGGGAAGUGGAAUUUCCGGUGUAGCGGUGAAAUGCGUAGAUAUCGGAAGGAACAUCAGUGGCGAAAGCGACUUCCUGGACCAAUACUGACGCUCAUGUGCGAAAGCGUGGGGAGCAAACAGGAUUAGAUACCCUGGUAGUCCACGCCAUAAACGAUGAGAACUGGAUGUCGGGAGGGUCUGCCUCUCGGUGUCGUAGCUAACGCGUUAAGUUCUCCGCCUGGGGAGUACGGCCGCAAGGUUGAAACUCAAGGAAUUUGACGGGACCGCACAAGCGUGGAGCAUGUUG